CCUAUUUUUAAUUCGAUUCGAAUUAUUUGUGGGCUGAUCUGAUCGACCAUUUUGAGAGAUUUUUCCCCAUUUUUUAUUCGAUUGGAAAUUGGUUUGGACUGAUCUAAUCCGGCGUUUCCAGUUUCAGGAAACGGUGCCUUUGAAAAUUUGGGAGUUUCGAUUUCGAUUUCCGAAGUUCUCUGUGUUGAAGGUUUGAUUCGUUCAACGCUCUUGAUUGUUUUUUUCAAGCCAACUACUACAUUUUCCAAAAAAUUUACAAAGAACAACCAAGCUGGAUUACA